GGGAGACUUAUUAUGACAUUCGCUUACCACUUCUGAUGAAGGUUGAACGCGUUUUCAUUACCCCAUCCUGACACAGGGAGGUAGUGACAAGAAAUAACAAUAGUCCUGCUCUAAGCAGGAUCUAAUUGGAAUGAGUACAAUUUAAACAUCUUAACGAGAACCCAUUGGAGGGCAAGUCUGGUGCCAGCAGCCGCGGUAAUUCCAGCUCCAAUAGCGUAUACUAAAGUUGUUGCAGUUAAAAAGCUCGUAGUCGGAUUUCUGCGCGGGUGGGGCAGCCAGUGCCGCUUUUGGCUCAGCGCUAGCAACGCCCGCGCAUCCUGCCGCGAACGUCGCUACCAUUGAUUUGGUGGCGUUUCGGGAUCGGCUCGUUUACUUUGAGAAAAAUAGAGUGUUCAAAGCAGGCCAACUCGCCUUGAAUAAGUUAGCAUGGAAUAAUGAUAAAGGACUUCGGUUCUAUUUUGUUGGUGUUCCGGGACUGAAGUAAUGAUUGAUAGGGACGGUUGGGGGCCUCAGUAUUUCGGAGCGAGAGGUGAAAUUCUUAGACCUCCGGAAGACUAACCGCUGCGAAAGCGUUGGCCAAGGACGUUCCCUUUGAUCAAGAACGAAAGUUGGGGGAUCGAAGACCAUCAGAUACGGUCGUAGUCUCAACUAUAAACUAUACCAGCUAGGGAUCGGCCGAUGUUGUAAACUUAAGACUCGGUCGGCACCUUAUGAGAAAUCAAAGCAUCUGGGUUCCGGGGGGAGUAUGGUCGCAAGGCUGAAACUUAAAGGAAUUGACGGAAGGGCACCACCAGGCGUGGGGCCUGCGGCUUAAUUUGACUCAACACGGGGAAACUUACCAGGUCCAGACAUAGUGAGGAUGACAGACAGACAGCUCUUUCUUGAUUCUACGGGUGGUGGUGCAUGGCCGUUGUUAGUUGGAGGAGUGAUUCGUCUGGUUAAUUCCCUUAACGACCGUGUCACCGACCUGCUAAUAAUAGCCCGCGUGAGCUUUCAUUACUCCACAGCGAGCUUCUCAGAGGGACUAGUGCUCGGCUCUAGGCACGGGAAGUUCGGGGCAAUAACAGGUUUGUGAUGCCAUUAGAUGAUAUGGCCCGCACACGGUCCACACAGACGCCUACACCGAGCAUAUCAGCUGCCCCGAGAGGGUCUCUUAUGCCUAAUCUUUAGACCCGUCCGCGCUCUAGGGAUCCACCUUCUCAAAUAUGGGUCGUGCAACGAGGAAUUCCUUGGAAAUGCGACUCCUCAUCUCGCGUUGCAUACGUUCCUCCCCAUAGUACACAACUCCCGUCACUCCAACCGAGGAAUGUUCCGAGGAAAUUCUCGGAGGGCUCCUGUCACCCGCCGCGAGUCGGCGAACGGGAGAUCCGAAGUCGCUUAAAUCUCAUCAGAUCGAGGAAGGAGAAGUCGUACCAAGGUACCC
rnacentral:rRNA from 1 species